rnacentral:rRNA from 1 species
AGGACGAACGCUGGCGGCGUGCUUAACACAUGCAAGUCGAGCGGAAAGGCCCUUCGGGGUACUCGAGCGGCGAACGGGUGAGUAACACGUGAGCAACCUGCCCUUAGCUCCGGGAUAGCUCCGGGAAACCGGAAUUAACACCGGAUAUGACCUAGGCCGACAUCGGCUGUGGUGGAAAGUUUUUCGGCUGGGGAUGGACUCGCGGCCUAUCAGCUUGUUGGUGGGGUAAUGGCCUACCAAGGCGACGACGGGUAGCCGGCCUGAGAGGGCGACCGGCCACACUGGGACUGAGACACGGCCCAGACUCCUACGGGAGGCAGCAGUGGGGAAUCUUGCGCAAUGGGCGAAAGCCUGACGCAGCGACGCCGCGUGGGGGAUGAAGGCCUUCGGGUUGUAAACCCUUUCAGCAGGGACGAAGCGAAAGUGACGGUACCUGCAGAAGAAGCGCCGGCUAACUACGUGCCAGCAGCCGC